rnacentral:rRNA from 1 species
AACGAACGCUGGCGGCAUGCCUAACACAUGCAAGUCGAACGAAGCCUUCGGGCUUAGUGGCGCACGGGUGCGUAACGCGUGGGAACCUACCAUCAGGUUCGGAAUAACAGUUAGAAAUGACUGCUAAUACCGGAUAAUGUCUUCGGACCAAAGAUUUAUCGCCUUUUGAUGGGCCCGCGUAAGAUUAGGUAGUUGGUGGGGUAAAGGCCUACCAAGCCGACGAUCUUUAGCUGGUCUGAGAGGAUGAUCAGCCACACUGGGACUGAGACACGGCCCAGACUCCUACGGGAGGCAGCAGUGGGGAAUAUUGGACAAUGGGCGAAAGCCUGAUCCAGCAAUGCCGCGUGAGUGAUGAAGGCCUUAGGGUUGUAAAGCUCUUUUACUGGGGAUGAUAAUGACAGUACCCAGAGAAUAAGACUCCGGCUAACUCCGUG